rnacentral:rRNA from 1 species
UACGAAGGGGGCUAGCGUUGUUCGGAAUUACUGGGCGUAAAGCGCGCGCAGGCGGUUUCUCAAGUCAGUGGUGAAAGCCCGGAGCUCAACUCCGGAACUGCCAUUGAAACUGUGAAACUUGAGGACGAGAGAGGUGAGUGGAAUUCCCAGUGUAGAGGUGAAAUUCGUAGAUAUUCGCAAGAACACCAGUGGCGAAGGCGGCUCACUGGCCCGGUACUGACGCUGAGGUGCGAAAGCGUGGGGAGCAAACAGG